UUUUAACAGUGUAGCAGUGACGGUGUUUUGUUUUGUUUUUCCACGACAUUUGGCGAUUUAUCCAAAAAAUCUUUCAAAAAAGUAAAAAUUAUUAAGAAAAAGUGUCGAAUAUUGAUAAAAGAAGUGAAUUACAAAAGAAAUCAGCAUGAAUAUGCAUGGAAUGCCACAGCCGGGAGUAGUCCCAAGUGGAGUUGGUGUCUCUCCGAUUAUGAUGCAGCAAGUUUCGCCUCAAAUGGGGCAAAUGAUGGGCCCAGCGGGGCCUCAGCAGCCUCCACAACCUCCUCCCAUUGAGAAAAUUGACAACAUCUCGAAGGCUAAGAGUUUGGUGGGUCCUCUGAGGGAGUCUCUGUCGGCAACUAUUAAGGCUGCAGCCCAGAAUCUUCAUCACAAUAAUAUGACGGAUAUAGGAACUAUAAAAGGAGACAAUUCAGCCCCUCCGAGAUUUGAUAAAUACCUGGAGGAGUUCUACUCAAUUUGUGACCAAAUUGAACUGCACUUGAAAACUUCAAUUCAGUGCAUCCAGCAAAGUACUUCCAGCAAUCACUUUCUGCCAUUGACUGUGGCAGCAACAAGAGUGGAUCCAAUGCCUCAUCCACCUCCGGACAACCCUAUGCUGUCCUACCCACAAUAUCUCUCCACAGUGCGUUCUCAGAUAGCUUAUGCCAAAGAAAUACACGACACUUUGAUCUGUGCUGCUCAGAAUAUUUCUCCGAGCGAAUGAUAGUUAUAUUUACUAGAAACUAAAUUAGAUUUAAGGACAUCAAGUUCAUCGUUCGAAAGCCCUAUUAUCACAGCCCAAAUUUUCAAUUGACAUUGUCACACCAUUUUCAAUUUUUCCAUCAUUUCUAACGUCUUUUGGGGCUUCCGGAGACUUUCUCUGUAUCUCAAUGUCUCUCAGCUUUUGUCCCUUGGCUGAAAAAUGCAAUUCAAUUUCCUCGAGAGUGCGCUUUUCCGUUUCCGGAAGGUAGAAAUAGACGAAGACAAAGGCAAAUGCUCCAAUUGAUCCAUAAAGCCAAGCUGCUCCAUGCAAUCCCAUGCUGCGCUCAACAUUGAGAUAGGUUUUUGUGGUGAGGAAUGCCAAAACGUAAUUGAGAGCAGCAGUAAUUCCAGUUGCAAGACCUCGAGAUCUAUUAAUAAAAUGAUAAAGAGUUUUAAAAACAUAAAGAGGGCGAACAUCAUGAAAGUGUCAUUACUUGAAGGGAAAAACUUCACUGAGAAGCAUCCAGGGAAUGGCAGCAAUGCCGAAGCUUGUGAAGAAAGAAACAGCAAAGAAAACUAUCAUGGGGAAAGUCCCUGUGCCAGUUAUUUCAGAAUCAAUGUGUUUGUCGAAAGAGCUCCAAUUAGCCGGGAGAGUGGUAAAUGCGUAGAAUCCAAGAGCUAGGCAUCCCAAACUCGUGCCUGCCACUGAAAUUAGAUAAACACCUCGUUUUCCCAAUUUCCGGAUCAAUGGAAGCAUCACAAUGUUAGCUACAAAAGCCGCUAGGCCUACAAAUACUGUUCCCUGUCCUCCAUCAAUGGGAGUACCAUAAGCCUGAAAGAUUUGCACCAUGAAGGGGCGCAUAGAGGCUAAUCCGGUGAAGUUGUGGAAGAAAAAGAGCGCCAUUACUAAUGCAAAAGGUUUCAGUGUUCGAUGCCUAAAAAGCUCUUUUCCGCGCUGUAAAAGGGUAUCUGGAGGAUGAGGACAUGCAGUGUCUUUUUUCUGGCAAGCAGCACAUUUAUUGCUGUUGGCUGAAUAAUGCUGCAGUUGCUGAAAUUCAUCCUGGACAGCUUCUGGACUCACCCAGCCUCGUAGCCACUGUAGAGAUUUCCGAGCAGGUUCGACUUUCCCUUUCGAAAGAAGCCAAAGGGGAGUUUCUGGGACGAAACAAAUGGCUACAAGGGUUGAAAGGGGGACUGCCAGGCAAAUCAGUGCAGCCACUCGCCAUGUUACUACAGUUCCCAGAAAGUAAACUGUAAAGACUCCCAGUUGCACGGAGACUCCAGCGCAGGAUGUUAAUAUUCCCCGAAUGGAUGGCUCCCUGAAAAGAUUAUACGGUGAUUAUUGGGGCUUCCAUGAAGCCAACUCCUAGGCCCAGAAGAAUAGCAGCUGUGUAGAGUUCAGACAGUGUACUGGCAUAGUGUAGCAUUAUCCAGGCAAUGAUGUGGGGUAUAUUGACGAGAAUCAUAGAGAGUUUUCGUCCAAGGGGUUCGGUAACCCAUCCGGAUAGGACACUCCCUACAGGUUGACAGAUAAAUGCAAUAGAUCCGAGCCAAGAUGCUUCAACGGCUGUCAAAGUGAGAAUUUCUGUUGGAUCGGAAUUCUCGAGAUUCCCACGAAGUGCUGGGAUGAGAAUUGUGGGAAAGGUUACACUGAGUCCGAGGUCCAGCAGGAGAAAAUUCUUGGCUGUACUGGCAAGAACUUGAGGUAAGAACCGACGAAAAUUGCUAACUUCUUUUGGCCUUUUUGUGUCUCCAUUUGAAUUUUUGGAAUCACUGACGUUGUAUGAUGAUUUCCCCAUGAUUUUCUUUGUUUUUUUUUUACUUAUUCGGGCUUUUUUUCUUUUACACCUUCAUCUUGAAAUCUGUAUUGGAAAAAAAUUACAUAGAAAGUCAAUUUUAUUUUUUUCAUAGAUUUUGUACAAAUGCAAUAAAUGUUUGUGGUAAAA